AUUGAACGCUGGCGGCAGGCCUAACACAUGCAAGUCGAGCGGCGCGGCCGACGGGUGAGUAAUGCCUAGGAGUCGGCCUGCUCGUGGGGGGUGACGUCCGGCAACGGGCGCUAAUACCGCCUACUCGCAGAUGAGCCUAGGUCGAAUUAGCUAGUUGGUGGGGUAAGGGCCUACCCAGGCGACGAUCCCUACCUGGCCUGAGAGGAUGAUCAGUCACACUGGAACUGAGACACGGCCCAGACUCCUACGGGAGGCAGCAGUGGGGAAUAUUGGACAAUGGGCGAAAGCCUGAUGCAGCCAUGCCGCGUGUGUGAAGAAGGCCUUCGGAUUGUAAAGCACUUUAAGUUGGGAGGCGUUACCAACAGAAGAAGCACCGGCUAACUCCGUGCCAGCAGCCGCGGUAAUUC
rnacentral:rRNA from 1 species